rnacentral:rRNA from 1 species
UAAUACGUAGGCAGCGAGCGUUGUUCGGAGUUACUGGGCGUAAAGGGUGCGUAGGCGGUUUUCCAAGUUUGUUGUGAAAUCUCCCGGCUUAACCGGGAGGGUGCGGCGAAAACUGGGAGACUGGAGUACUGGAGAGGUAAGCGGAAUUCCUGGUGUAGCGGUGAAAUGCGUAGAGAUCAGGAGGAACACCUGUGGUGUAGACAGCUUGCUGGACAGUAACUGACGCUGAGGCACGAAAGCGUGGGUAGCAAACAGGAUUAGAUACCCUGGUAGUCCACGCCCUAAACGAUGCAUACUUGGUGUGGGCAGUUCAUUCUGUCUGUGCCGGAGCUAACGCGUUAAGUAUGCCGCCUGGGGAGUACGGUCGCAAGGCUG